rnacentral:rRNA from 1 species
UACGUAGGGGGCAAGCGUUGUCCGGAUUUAUUGGGCGUAAAGCGCUCGCAGGCGGUCCGAUGCGUCGUGCGUGAAAGACCCCGGCUCAACCAGGGAGGGUCAUUCGAUACUGUUCGACUCGAAGGCAGGAGAGGGAAGCGGAAUUCCCGGUGUAGUGGUGAAAUGCGUAGAUAUCGGGAGGAACACCAGUGGCGAAGGCGGCUUUCUGGCCUGUUCUUGACGCUGAGGCGCGAAAGCUAGGGGAGCAAACGGG